rnacentral:misc_RNA from 1 species
AACUCUACAUCUUAAUAUUUUCUUCCUUCCUGAGAUAAAAGAAUUUAUGAGAAAAGAAGAGGUUAAUUAUAAAAAGGUAGAAAUUGCUAUUGCUAUCCCUCACUAAGUCAAACAGGAUGGGGAAUAGAAAAUUAAUAAAUUAAUGCCCAGCAAUCACUCCAGAUACCCUGGAAUAGAAUAAAUUCUUAAAUUCUUAAAUCCUCCAAUGCAGUUAAAGGAAAGGACAAUUAAAAACCAAUAACACAAAUGGAAAAGGAACAUUGUGCUAUUCCUGUGUUCUAUGCUAAACAUAGACCGCCAAGCAACUUUUAAGUUAAAGAAGAAAUAAUGAAAAAACAUGAAGUACUCAUUUUAAUAGUCUAUUAAUCCAUUGACAAACAAU